rnacentral:rRNA from 2 species
GGUGCUGCAUGGCUGUCGUCAGCUCGUGUUGUGAAAUGUUGGGUUAAGUCCCGCAACGAGCGCAACCCUUAUCCUUUGUUGCCAGCGGUCCGGCCGGGAACUCAAAGGAGACUGCCAGUGAUAAACUGGAGGAAGGUGGGGAUGACGUCAAGUCAUCAUGGCCCUUACGACCAGGGCUACACACGUGCUACAAUGGCGCAUACAAAGAGAAGCGACCUCGCGAGAGCAAGCGGACCUCAUAAAGUGCGUCGUAGUCCGGAUUGGAGUCUGCAACUCGACUCCAUGAAGUCGGAAUCGCUAGUAAUCGUGGAUCAGAAUGCCACGGUGAAUACGUUCCCGGGCCUUGUACACACCGCCCGUCACACCAUGGGAGUGGGUUGCAAAAGAAGUAGGUAGCUUAACCUUCGGGAGGGCGCUUACCACUUUGUGAUUCAUGACUGGGGUGAAGUCGUAACAAGGUAACCGUAGGGGAACCUGCGGUUGGAUCAC